rnacentral:ncRNA from 18 species
CUAUCAUCGAGAAAGGUGGAGGGACUGGCCCUGAGAAGCCUUGGCAACCGUCAUUGACCGUCAGUGAUUCAAUGGAUUGCAUUGAUUCAUGUAUUGAGGUAAUGAUUGGUGCCAAUUCCAUCCCGGUUGAAGGCCGGGAAAGAUGAAG